CCAGAGGGAAGAUCUCUCCAGAAAGAGGAGCUGGAAUGUUUUGUCUCCUGAGAGGUUACUAUACAAACAGCCCAGUGCGACAAGGGGGCGUCCUGAUGUCAUGGCCGUAACCCCCUGGUUGGCACCGAUCAUCUGGGAAGAAACCUUUAACCCUGAGCUGGUUGAUGCCAUAUACAAGCCAAUGAAUCUCACCAUCGCAACCACUGUGUUUGCUGUUGGAAAGUAUAUCAGGUUUCUGGGUGAAUUCUUGGAAACGGCAGAGAAGAACUUUAUGGUUGACUUCAAAGUGCACUAUCACAUUUUCACUGACCAGCUGCACAAAGUGCCAGCAAUGAAUCUGGCUGCUUGAAGAAAAAUCUUUGUCCAUCA